rnacentral:rRNA from 1 species
GAGAGUUAAAUAGUACGUGAAAUUGUUGAAAGGGAAACGAUUGAAGUCAGUCAUGCUAGUGAAAAUUCAGUUUGGUAGGUUUGGGUUCAGGAGUUGAGGCAGGGUCAAACCGUUUCUCUUUUGAACUUGGAAUUUGUCAGAUGCACUUUUUCUUUGGCAGGUCAGCGUCGAUUUCGGAGGUUGUAAAAUACUUGGGGAAAAGUAGCUCUGCUUCGGGAGAGUGUUAUAGACCUUGGGUGAUGCAGCCUGUGGGAUCGAGGAUUGCAGCAAAUGCUUUUGGCUUGUCGCCUGAUCUUUGGACGUCACCUUGCUUGUAUCAACAUUCUUGGUACCGGUGAGUAAUGGUGCUUAUGGGUUAGAGCGAUCAAAAAUUUUGCUAAGGAUGCUGACGUAAUGGCUUUAAACGA